rnacentral:tmRNA from 1 species
GGGGGUGUUCCGGAUUCGACCGGCAAGGUUCGGGGUCGAUUGCAUGCCGAGGAUGAUCGUUGGCCUCGUAAAUCAUCGGUCAAAACAAUAACUGCGAACGAAGAGUUUGCCUUGGCGGCUUAAUUCCCGCCAACGUCGCUUGAGUUGACUUGGGUGCUAAACUCAAAGCGGCGUGUGUAAGCGCCCUGGCGACUAUCCCCUCUACUCGGGAUAGUGGCGAGAACCAAGAAUAGAUAGUCUGAAAGCGAGCCUGUCCACCGGCAUGUCGUAGGACGAAAAGCAACAAUGACGGAACAAGCAUGUAGACGUCGAUAUCCACCUUUGACGGCACGCGGGUUCAACUCCCGCCACCUCCACCA